rnacentral:rRNA from 1 species
UACAGAGGUCUCAAGCGUUGUUCGGAUUCAUUGGGCGUAAAGGGUGCGUAGGUGGCGCUGUAAGUCGGGUGUGAAAUUUCGGAGCUUAACUCCGAAACUGCAUUCGAUACUGCGGUGCUUGAGGACUGGAGAGGAGACUGGAAUUCAUGGUGUAGCAGUGAAAUGCGUAGAUAUCAUUUGGAACGCCAAUGGUGAAAACAGCUCGCUGGGGGUUUGCUGACGCUGAGACACGAAAGCCAGGGGAGCAAACGGG